UACGUAGGGAGCAAGCGUUGUCCGGAAUCAUUGGGCGUAAAGCGCGCGUAGGCGGCCUCAUAAGUCCGUUGUGAAAGUCAAAGGCUCAACCUUUGAAAGCCGAUGGAUACUGUGAGGCUAGAGUCCGGAAGAGGCGAGUGGAAUUCCUGGUGUAGCGGUGAAAUGCGCAGAUAUCAGGAAGAACACCCGUGGCGAAGGCGGCUCUCUGGGACGGUACUGACGCUGAGACGCGAAAGCGUGGGGAGCGAACAGG
rnacentral:rRNA from 1 species